GGUUCAGAGAGUUGAGCUACCCAGGGCAAUGUGGCAACGAAUUACCUCCUUUUACAUCACUCGCAGGCUCCUGCCCUGGUCCUGGGAGAGGACAUGGCUGAGAAUCGUCAAAGACAGGCGAGGUCUCUGGAGAGACGCAGUCAUUGGAGACAUAAGAACAGCCAGCGCGACUUCACACAGGAAAUGUCUCAACUGCGGUCGUCGUGACACGGGUUUGGGAAUACGCCUCCUCAUUCCCGAAGACAAAACCGGAUGAAAGUAACUUCCUCACAAGGAUGCAGAACUGACUUGGGGAAAGCAUGCUGCGCAUGCUCCAGGGCACACCUUUGACGAUGCCACACUUGUCACGGGUCAAGGACUGCUUACAGAAUGCGGUGUUAUCCACCUCCCGCUGAAAUAAAACACAUGGGAUGAGUA